UACGUAGGGACCAAGCGUUGUUCGGAUUUACUGGGCGUAAAGGGCGCGUAGGCGGCGUGGUAAGUCACUUGUGAAAUCUCUGAGCUUAACUCAGAACGGCCAAGUGAUACUGCUGUGCUAGAGUGCAGAAGGGGCAAUCGGAAUUCUUGGUGUAGCGGUGAAAUGCGUAGAUAUCAAGAGGAACACCUGAGGUGAAGACGGGUUGCUGGGCUGACACUGACGGCUGAUGCGCGAAAGCCAGGGGAGCAAACGGGG
rnacentral:rRNA from 1 species